GUGCCAGCAGCCGCGGUAAUACGUAGGUGGCAAGCGUUAUCCGGAAUUAUUGGGCGUAAAGCGCGCGCAGGUGGUUUCUUAAGUCUGAUGUGAAAGCCCACGGCUCAACCGUGGAGGGUCAUUGGAAACUGGGAGACUUGAGUGCAGAAGAGGAAAGUGGAAUUCCAUGUGUAGCGGUGAAAUGCUGAGAGAUAUGGAGGAACACCAGUGGCGAAGGCGACUUUUCUGGUUCUGUAACCUGACACUGAAGGCGCGAAAAGCGUGGGGAGCAAACGGGAUAUAGAUACCCUGGUAGUCC
rnacentral:rRNA from 1 species